rnacentral:rRNA from 1 species
GACGAACGCUGGCGGCGUGCCUAAUACAUGCAAGUUGAGCGCUGAAGGUUGGUACUUGUACCAACUGGAUGAGCAGCGAACGGGUGAGUAACGCGUGGGGAAUCUGCCUUUGAGCGGGGGACGACAUUUGGAAACGAAUGCUAAUACCGCAUAAAAACUUUAAACACAAGUUUUAAGUUUGAAAGAUGCAAUUGCAUCACUCAAAGAUGAUCCCGCGUUGUAUUAGCUAGUUGGUGAGGUAAAGGCUCACCAAGGCGAUGAUACAUAGCCGACCUGAGAGGGUGAUCGGCCACAUUGGGACUGGGACACGGCCCAAACUCCUACGGGAGGCAGCAGUAGGGAAUCUUCGGCAAUGGACGAAAGUCUGACCGAGCAACGCCGCGUGAGUGAAGAAGGUUUUCGGAUCGUAAAACUCUGUUGGUAGAGAAGAACGUUGGUGAGAGUGGAAAGCUCAUCAAGUGACGGUAACUACCCAGAAAGGGACGGCUAACUACGUG